AUGUAGAGAAGGAAACAGUGAUCAUAGUGGUGAAAAUAUUAUACAAAACGGGAAUUCGAAAAGGUCUCAUUAGAGGCAUUUUGUGGAAUUUCCUACGGCGGCACCGCUGGGUAUUGUCCAUGUUUUUCGGCCAAUUGGCUAGUCCUUUUGCUGCGAUUUGGUCAUGGGUGUGUUUAAAAUUAAAUUCUGAGCAAGGGGAAAAAUUUUGACCUCUUUUGACGAUCAGAAAGGGCUUUAGUGCGGCAGCGGGUGGCAGCGGUGUCCUUCCCGACAGCUGGGUCUUCUUCUCUGGCAAGGGGAUCUGGCAGCUAGAGUUAGGGUUUGUUGUGGAUGGGGGUUAUUUAUAUCCGUCUGCUUUUGAUCUGGGCCAUCAAUUACAUUUGAUUUGGACCGUUCGAUCGCGAUUAAAUAGGAAGUGAAUCUGGACCAUUCAUCACGAUCUAAUCUGGCCGUUCAUUGCGAUCUAAUCUGGACCGUGCGAUUGCAUCUGGGGAGGGAACGCAUCUUGGCCGUUUGUGCGCGCGGGAAUAGAUCUGAGUCGUUCGAUCGCAGGCACGCAGAUCGCCCGCGUGACCUCCCGCGUGGCACUGCAUCAGUGUCUGCUGCCAUGCGGUGCGGCCUGAUUCGUCGGGGCUGCUAACCGGUGGUGAAACUUCUAUAAAUUGUAUUUUGACCUCCAGUUUCUGAUUUUUCUUUCAAAAAU
rnacentral:lncRNA from 1 species